rnacentral:rRNA from 1 species
GACGAACGCUGGCGGCGUGCUUAACACAUGCAAGUCGAACGGAAAGGCCCUGCUUUUGUGGGGUGCUCGAGUGGCGAACGGGUGAGUAACACGUGAGUAACCUGCCCUUGACUUUGGGAUAACUUCAGGAAACUGGGGCUAAUACCGGAUAGGAGCUCCUGCUGCAUGGUGGGGGUUGGAAAGUUUCGGCGGUUGGGGAUGGACUCGCGGCUUAUCAGCUUGUUGGUGGGGUAGUGGCUUACCAAGGCUUUGACGGGUAGCCGGCCUGAGAGGGUGACCGGCCACAUUGGGACUGAGAUACGGCCCAGACUCCUACGGGAGGUAGCAGUGGUGAAUAUUGCACAAUGGGCGGAAGCCUGAUGCAGCAACGCCGCGUGCGGGAUGACGGCCUUCGGGUUGUAAACCGCUUUCGCCUGUGACGAAGCGUGAGUGACGGUAAUGGGUAAAGAAGCACCGGCUAACUACGUG